UACGUAGGGCGCAAGCGUUGUCCGGAAUUAUUGGGCGUAAAGAGCUCGUAGGCGGCUUGUCACGUCGGAUGUGAAAGCCCGGGGCUUAACCCCGGGUCUGCAUUCGAUACGGGCAGGCUAGAGUUCGGUAGGGGAGAUCGGAAUUCCUGGUGUAGCGGUGAAAUGCGCAGAUAUCAGGAGGAACACCGGUGGCGAAGGCGGAUCUCUGGGCCUUACCUGACGCUGAGGCGCGAAAGCUAGGGGAGCGAACAGG
rnacentral:rRNA from 1 species